rnacentral:rRNA from 2 species
ACGGGGCUAAACCAUGCACCGAAGCUGCGGCAGCGACGCUUAUGCGUUGUUGGGUAGGGGAGCGUUCUGUAAGCCUGCGAAGGUGGCCUGUGAGGGUUGCUGGAGGUAUCAGAAGUGCGAAUGCUGACAUAAGUAACGAUAAAGCGGGUGAAAAGCCCGCUCGCCGGAAGACCAAGGGUUCCUGUCCAACGUUAAUCGGGGCAGGGUGAGUCGACCCCUAAGGCGAGGCCGAAAGGCGUAGUCGAUGGGAAACGGGUUAAUAUUCCCGUACUUGGUGUUACUGCGAAGGGGGGACGGAGAAGGCUAUGUUGGCCGGGCGACGGUUGUCCCGGUUUAAGCGUGUAGGUGUGUGUUCCAGGUAAAUCCGGUUCACUUUAACACUGAGGCGUGACGACGAGGCACUACGGUGCUGAAGCAACAAAUGCCCUGCUUCCAGGAAAAGCCUCUAAGCAUCAGGUAACAUCAAAUCGUACCCCAAACCGACACAGGUGGUCAGGUAGAGAAUACCAAGGCGCUUGAGAGAACUCGGGUGAAGGAACUAGGCAAAAUGGUGCCGUAACUUCGGGAGAAGGCACGCUGACACGUAGGUGAAGUGAUUUACUCAUGGAGCUGAAGUCAGUCGAAGAUACCAGCUGGCUGCAACUGUUUAUUAAAAACACAGCACUGUGCAAACACGAAAGUGGACGUAUACGGUGUGACGCCUGCCCGGUGCCGGAAGGUUAAUUGAUGGGGUCAGCGCAAGCGAAGCUCCUGAUCGAAGCCCCGGUAAACGGCGGCCGUAACUAUAACGGUCCUAAGGUAGCGAAAUUCCUUGUCGGGUAAGUUCCGACCUGCACGAAUGGCGUAAUGAUGGCCAGGCUGUCUCCACCCGAGACUCAGUGAAAUUGAACUCGCUGUGAAGAUGCAGUGUACCCGCGGCAAGACGGAAAGACCCCGUGAACCUUUACUAUAGCUUGACACUGAACAUUGAGCCUUGAUGUGUAGGAUAGGUGGGAGGCUUUGAAGUGUGGACGCCAGUCUGCAUGGAGCCGACCUUGAAAUACCACCCUUUAAUGUUUGAUGUUCUAACGUGGACCCGUUACCCGGGUUGCGGACAGUGUCUGGUGGGUAGUUUGACUGGGGCGGUCUCCUCCUAAAGAGUAACGGAGGAGCACGAAGGUUGGCUAAUCCUGGUCGGACAUCAGGAGGUUAGUGCAAUGGCAUAAGCCAGCUUGACUGCGAGCGUGACGGCGCGAGCAGGUGCGAAAGCAGGUCAUAGUGAUCCGGUGGUUCUGAAUGGAAGGGCCAUCGCUCAACGGAUAAAAGGUACUCCGGGGAUAACAGGCUGAUACCGCCCAAGAGUUCAUAUCGACGGCGGUGUUUGGCACCUCGAUGUCGGCUCAUCACAUCCUGGGGCUGAAGUAGGUCCCAAGGGUAUGGCUGUUCGCCAUUUAAAGUGGUACGCGAGCUGGGUUUAGAACGUCGUGAGACAGUUCGGUCCCUAUCUGCCGUGGGCGCUGGAGAACUGAGGGGGGCUGCUCCUAGUACGAGAGGACCGGAGUGGACGCAUCACUGGUGUUCGGGUUGUCAUGCCAAUGGCACUGCCCGGUAGCUAAAUGCGGAAGAGAUAAGUGCUGAAAGCAUCUAAGCACGAAACUUGCCCCGAG